UGUAAAAAAAUGUUCUUUUUAUUGGAUGUAUGUGUGUAUCCCUCUCCCCCCCAGUUACAAUGUUUAGAUCCGGGCUUUAUAGCCACUGUUAAUCGAUACAAAUUUGGUAUAAAAAUCUUUCCUUUUCUUGCCUUGUUUUGCUUCUUUCCUUUGCUGUUUUCUCUUCUUUUUUGCAGGUAAUCGCAAGAUCUCCGGCGAAAAUAAAGGGGACCUUCAUUUGGUGCUUGCGGCGCGAUGAGUGGGCUAGGGUUUCUCACUCUAGCCGAGUGCUUCUAAAUUUUGGGCUUCUGAUGAUUUAGAUCUGUUAGGCCGGGUUAGGUAUUAAGUUUGGCUGAUGGAUCUGUUGUAUUUGGGCUACGGGACUACUUUGGGGUUUUGGGUAGUGGGCCUGCUGGGUAGGGUCACGGUUUGUUGGGUCACGGGCCUUGUAAUGGGUAGGUUUAGGUGGGUUAUUGGGUUUUAACAUUUGUAAAAGGACUGUUAAAACUUUUAUUAUUAUUUUUCAAUAUUUUGGACUAUGCCUUGGCUUCCAAUGGGCCGGGCAAAAUUGAGGUAUUACAGUAAUUAUAUGCCUUUACAGCUAUACAAGUUGGGACCAAGAACUACAAGAAACUCUAAAGGAAAAGCCUAACCAAAACGGAAUGAUUUGAGAUUGAAUUUCCACUUAUCAAGAUAGGCCCCAAAGAUGAUAUGAAAUACUGCAGCCAAAACCAAUCCCAAGAGUUAAGCAGUUAAUGCAACUCAUUUAGUUAAGCAGUUAGGUUUUGUUUUUGUAAUCCAAUAUCAUAUAUUAGUAAUAAAAAUCCUAAAAACAAGAUUACAAAAUUAGAGGAUAUCCCACAUCAAAUUCUUCAAUGAUCCACCUUCCCAGCCUAUAGAAUGAAAUAGAAUACUCUUAAGCUAAGUUUACAUCUGACCCAGACAAUAAAAAACAACACAUUUGAACAAUCGCUAGUUGCUACCACAAUAAAUUCAACUUGUCAUUAAACCAGUUAUUUCUUCUUUCCUAACUUGUAUAAAUACACACAGCUAUUGUGACCUUCUUUCCUUUUUAUAGUUGACACCUUUGCUCAACAUUAAUAUGAUAAAGGUGACGAACACUAAAAAAAAGAGCCUUUAUUUCACAAUCAGGAGCCCAAGUUUCAGAUUAUGUUAGAUAAAAGGUACAAAAAAGCAUGCUACAUACUCAAAUAUACAUGUCUCUAUAUAUAUAAUCUUUGCUUACCUAUUGCUAAGGAGGUAUGAAAUUGCAUUUGCAACAACUGCCUUUCCUAUUCCAGGAGGUCCAUAAAGAGGUAUUCCACGAACAUAUUUUAUUGUAAACUUGAAAUAAUAAUAAUAAUAAUACC
rnacentral:lncRNA from 1 species